rnacentral:lncRNA from 1 species
AGGCCGGGGGUGGCGACGCGCCGGGGCCGCGCCGAGGCGGCCGGCGAUGCGAAAGCGAAAGCGGGCGCUGGUUCAGGGCCGGCCCCGCCGCCCGUGACCUUCCCGCGGCCUGGCAGGUGCCGGCGCGGGAGCGGGGCGCGGCGGCCGGCGGACACUCACUCCUCCUGCUCCUCCCCACCCGCCCCCCUCCGCGCCCGCUCUCUCACAUGGACGCGCGAGCCGGCGGGUCGCGGCGGCCGGACGAGAGGAAGGCGGCGGUCAGCAGCCCGGCCCCUGGGCGCCUCGCUCGGCGGCGGCCGCGUCCCUCGUUUCCGGCCUCCGGCCGGCUUCCGCGGCCCAGCACGAAGGUUCCGCCCGCGACGGGGAGCGGGCUGGGGCGCCGUCCCCGCAGCGGCGCGGCCCGCGGCUCCUACCUGCUGCGCGGGGCGCGUUGCCGGCCUAGGAGYUGCGGGCGAGCGGCCCAGGCGGCGGCCCGGGGGAGGGUGUUUGACUCGGGCCCCGCGGGCUCGGGGCGGCUCGGGCCCAGGGAAGGGACCGAGAUCGGUGGCGGACGAGGCGCGGGAAGCAGCGGCGGUUGGGGGCGGAGGGGAGCGGGGGGAGGCGGCGUGGGGCUGCCCUGCCGCUCGCUCUUCACCGUUUCAGACGGAGGGAGGCCGCUCUUCACCGUUGCAGUGAGGCCAGGCUCGCAGCUCGGGGCAUUCCUGAGGCGUCGCUUGACAAGCUCCCGCAGAUCUUCCUUCUGCGCCCUGCAGCUUUCUUCAAAGGUAUGUUAUCUUUGAUCUGCAUGGAGUAUCCCUCAAGUUACUUACUGUCCACCAAAAGAACAUUGUGAAGACAGUGUUUUUGAGAAAGGCAAACUUGCUUCUGCCUAGUAGCCCUGUUUCUUCCAAGGCAGGCAGGCUCUCCUCUGUUCCCUCAGUAUUUGGGGCAGAUGCCCAUCUCCAGCAGUUUGCAUUCCUGAUGCUUCAUACGAAGUCAAACAUUCUAAGUUGCCUUUAAAURUGUUGUUUUGUAUUACCUCUAUUACUGUUUUGUAACCUUUGUAUUACAGUUCACCUGUCUGCAUAACAGAAAAAGACAUAUCAGUUUCUUUAUCAUAGUUUGAUAUGGCUAACUGAGGCUCCAGCCAGUUUUCAUACUCAGAAGUCCAGCYUGGGAUGGGCAACUCGAUGGUCACUGUUCUGCAAAUCAUGAACAUGGGCAAUCCUCACUGCCUUAAUAAAGCACUUUUCAGACCAGAGUGUGAAGAAACU